CUGUUAAAGAGAUCACCAAAAAGUACAAAAUUUUAUUCAAAAGAAGAUGAAAUCUCAGGUUUUUUCAGUGUCUGAGUUACCAGAGAUUGGAGGAGGCGAUUUGUUUUUUUGUUUUUUCUCUGACAGUUUCCCGAGAAAAUCGAAUUGGCGAUUGACUGUGAGAAACUGAAAUUCCGGGAAAAGAGGAGAAGACGAGAGAAAAUGGCGCCAUUGACGUUGUUCUUCUUCUCCAACGACAUUUCAUCUUCUUCCUCCG